UGUACGCAUGUACUCCAUUACACCACAAAAAUAAAUCAAGAUAAAUUUGUUGGUUACUUAGCAUUCAAGUUUAAGGGUAAGAAGCAUUUCCAGGAGCUGAAGUGGGAUAAAAAGAUGGAUUGCACUGGGCAUUUUUAUCCUUGCUGCUCUCAUUGUCUUCACGUCUGUACCAGUAUCAGGAGCAAACAAUGAGGACCCAAAGUACUACACUGUACAUCAAACAGAUACACAGGCCUGAGUUGCAGCAGAAUAGGAUGAAAGCUGUAAAUACAUUGAAAAGAACUGGCUGUUGCUUUUCAUUUCGUGAAAAUAAACCACAUUUUGAAAUAACCACGUACUACUACACCAGUGAUAGAUGUUUCAUUAAAGCAGUUGUACUCAUUGCAAAGAAUGGCAGAAAGAUUUGUGUCCGUAAGGAUGCCCCAUGGAUUGACAAAUACAUCAAGAAUUAAUAAGAUGAGCCUAGAUACAGCAGUACUACACCAUUCUUUUCAAGUAGUGCUUUUGCAGAACUGAACAUUCUGUAAUAUCACUCAGUCAGCCUACUUUUUUGCAGCUGAUCCAUGAUUUUCUGUUAAACUAUUAUUUAGACGGUGCAUGAUUAACUGGUAUACAAAAGUUGCUCUGGAAUCCUGAAAAUGAAAACACAGAAAUGUCAGCACCCUAAGGUUUUUCUUGGCAUUCAGAUAAAUAUCCACAAGAUGACAAAAGGAGUAUAAUUUUUAUUGAAUAAUGAGGAUAUUGGAGCUGCUGUAGUCCAACUUGUGAAAAAGAAUACACAGUUUGUAUGGGUCUACAUGGACAAGCCAUCAGAGCCUUUUUCUUCUGUACUCUUCCUGUUAUGCAGCUGUACAGUUACAAUAUUAUUAAUAUUAUUACAAUGUUACACAUCAUGUUUCAGUAACAUGAAGCAUGUGCAUGAAGUAGUAGAAAAAUAUAAGUAUCCUUUUCAGUACUGAUACUAUGUAGAGGCAUGCCAUGUGGCUAAUUGUUCCAAAAAUCUUAGCCAAAUAUGCCAGCCAGUUUCCACAAACUGUAUUUCAUUACAUAAACACACAGUCUAACACGUACAAAAGUAUACACACAUACUGUUAUGUUCUUUAAUGCAACUCAGAGUACAAUAAAGUUAUUCCUGUCAAAGGUUGAUAGGUCAACAAGGAAUAUCAUAUCUUACCACUGUAAUAAAUAUUUACUUUAAA